rnacentral:rRNA from 1 species
UACGUAGGGGGCGAGCGUUGUCCGGAGUUACUGGGCGUAAAGCGCACGCAGGCGGUCUGCUAAGUUUGGAGUGACAGUUGGUGGCUUAACUGCCAAAGUGCUUCGAAAACUGACAGACUUGAGGGCUUCAGAGGGACACGGAAUUCCGGGUGGAGUGGUGAAAUGCGUAGAGAUCCGGAGGAACACCAAGGACGAAGGCAGUGUCCUGGCGAGUGACUGACGCUGAGGUGCGAAAGCCAGGGGAGCGAACGGGA